UACGUAGGGCGCAAGCGUUGUCCGGAAUUAUUGGGCGUAAAGAGCUCGUAGGCGGUUUGUCACGUCGGAUGUGAAAGCCCGGGGCUUAACCCCGGGUCUGCAUUCGAUACGGGCAGACUAGAGUGUGGUAGGGGAGAUCGGAACUCCUGGUGUAGCGGUGAAAUGCGCAGAUAUCAGGAGGAACACCGGUGGCGAAGGCGGAUCUCUGGGCCAUUACUGACGCUGAGGAGCGAAAGCGUGGGGAGCUAACAGG
rnacentral:rRNA from 1 species